GGAUGAAGUGGGCCUCGAUGAGGGACUGCAGCUCAGAGAAAUCCUUCUCCUGCCGCUUCCUGUGGAUGUCCUGUGGAUGGGAACGCAAACAAUAUUCUAGAAAAACGAUGAAAACCUUCCGUGCAUGUCUGAGGGUGAAAUAGCAGCCGAUUCUGUAUGCCGCGACACGCCGGAGGUUUUCAAGGCGUGAAAAAGUCAUUUUUAUCAAAGUGUGUUAUCGGAGGAAAUAUAAAGCCAAGAGGAAAACAAGGACCGAAAGAUAAGCUGUUUGUAUUGCAGGUGUAUUCGCCUGGAACAUCAUUUCUAGAAGAUUUCAGAAUUCCUAACUCCAAUAAACGCCUCAGAAGUAAUGUCCUCGCGCUCCGAGCAAAAGACAGUGAGACGUCGUUAGGAGGCAGAAGUCAGCGUGAUAACGUUUCAAUAAACAGCGUAUUACCGUCUUCUGCAGGUUCGGCUGCUGGUUCUUCAGCCGACUCCUCCACCAGUUCUUCAACUACUUCUUCCACAAGUUCUUCGACUGUUUCUUUGUAAAAAAAAAAAAAAAAAAAUCAAUUAGAAAAUAACAAAAGUUUGCGUUUUCCAUUUGUUUACCGUCUUUCUAUUGCAUUUUUCUCUAAUUGAGAGACAAUAAAUGCAACAUAUCAUCACAUCUGUCCUCUUUGUAUCUAUUUACCAACUUUUAGAUACUUUUCCAACAUUUUUAAACAAUAUUUUCUACUAGAAUUUGUUUAAAUUGUAACCAGUGUUGGAAAAAGCAUACCAAGAAUACCAUGAUACUACCUCCCCUGUGCUUUAAGUGAUUUCUCUUAGAAACGUCUACUUUUUUUUUCUUUGUAAAUCUCUAAAGUUUCGUUUUGCUGCUUGUUAUUCAACAUUUCUUCUAUAAACUUUAUUUGUCAGCUGUUUUUAGAGAAUUUAUCAUUCUUGGACAUUCUUCUGUUCAGUGUUCUCCUGCUGAAAUGUGAGCGGCAUUUAAACGUUGAUCAAAAUCAAGUAAACAAUAAUUUCACCAUUUUUUUUAUAUUUAUUUAUUUUUAAAUAUUAUUUUUUAAUAUUUCCUCAAUUCAAUUAAAUGUUAUCCAUAUAACCCAAUAAUAAAACACAAUUGUCUCAACGGGCUUCAUAUUGGUAAUUGUACAAAAUAAGAAAAAUCAGUCAUAAAAUAUGAAAAACAUAAAAGAAAAAAAACUACAUGAAAGCAAAAACGUGUUCUUUUUUAUUUAUUUUUAACACUGUAGAUAAAUUCAGAUGUCAUGGGGUGAAUUAGCAUUAGCAUAGGUGCUAAUAGAUGUUCUGUGGUACAAAUUUAUGGGGGACCUCAAACUGCAAUUUGAUGUACAAUAAUUUCACAAAGGUAAAAUAGAUAAAAAAAAUAGCAAAAAAA